rnacentral:rRNA from 1 species
AUUGAACGCUGGCGGCAGGCUUAACACAUGCAAGUCGAGCGAGUGGCGGACGGGUGAGUAAUGCAUGGGGAUCUGGCUGAUAGAGGGGGAUAACUACGGGAAACUGUAGCUAAUACCGCAUACUAUAGGAUGAGCCCAAAUGGGAUUAGGUAGUAGGUGAGGUAAAGGCUCACCUAGCCGACGAUCCCUAGCUGGUCUGAGAGGAUGACCAGCCACACUGGGACUGAGACACGGCCCAGACUCCUACGGGAGGCAGCAGUGGGGAAUAUUGCGCAAUGGGCGCAAGCCUGACGCAGCCAUGCCGCGUGUAUGAAGAAGGCCUUCGGGUUGUAAAGUUCUUUCGGUAGGGAGGCGUUACCUACAGAAGAAGCACCGGCUAACUCCGUGCCAGCAGCCGCGGUAAUAC